AUUGAACGCUGGCGGCAUGCUUUACACAUGCAAGUCGAACGGUAACAGGCCUUCGGGUGCUGACGAGUGGCGAACGGGUGAGUAAUGCAUCGGAACGUACCCAGAGGUGGGGGAUAACGCAGCGAAAGCUGUGCUAAUACUGCAUGUGAUCUGAGGAUGAAAGCGGGGGACCGAGCAGCAAUGUUUGGCCUCGCGCCUUUGGAGCGGCCGAUGUCGGAUUAGCUAGUUGGUGGGGUAAAGGCCUACCAAGGCGACGAUCCGUAGCUGGUCUGAGAGGACGACCAGCCACACUGGGACUGAGACACGGCCCAGACUCCUACGGGAGGCAGCAGUGGGGAAUUUUGGACAAUGGGCGCAAGCCUGAUCCAGCAAUGCCGCGUGCGGGAAGAAGGACUUCGGGUUGUAAACCGCUUUUGGCAGGAACGAAACGGUGUCCGCUAAUACCGGGCGCUAAUGACGGUACCUGCAGAAUAAGCACCGGCUAACUACGUG
rnacentral:rRNA from 1 species